AGCUUUGCGCAGUGGCAGUAUCGUAGCCAAUGAGGUUUAUCUGAGGCGCGAUUAUUGCUAAUUGAAAUAUCUGUCAAAAACUCUACUUAGUUUUAAAAUUCAGAUUGUAACCAGU
rnacentral:snRNA from 1 species